AUUCGGACAAAAACUUAUGGCCCCACUGAAAUGAUUCAGAUAUUGACAAGCUGGUAAUUUAUGAAGAAAGUCUAGCUUACGUGGUAGAGAUUGGGCAACAAGCAUCUUUGAGGAUGAAGGUUACAAGGUGAUGGAUGGUGGAGGGGAGAAUAUUUUGAAUAGAAUUAGUUGGAAGGAGACAAAGCAUUGGGAGAGACUCAUGAAGGAAGAACUCAUCUUGAUAAUUUAUGUGCUCGCCAUGAUCUUUAUCAUUCAAAUUCUAUUUAUUCAUGGUUUAUUGCUUCACUGUCAUAGGUCUUUGAAUAGGUUUUCAUUUGUUAGAUUUGUAUUUCAGUUAAAGGCUGUAGGAUGUGGAGAAGUUGUGAAUCUUGAAAAUGGUCUAAACUCAAUGUUUUAUAGUUGAUUAUCACUUCAUUGAAUUUAUUGACAAAGCUUGUAUCGAACACACAUUAUUUUUUAAUUGAUUAAGUUAAUUUCUUAUUUA